UCCAACCAUCACUGAACCAACUACCACCAGUCCCAGAGGCCACAGACAUCAUCUCUCCCACCACAAUCAAACACCAUAGUAAGUAGAACAGCAGUUAUUGGGUUUGUG